GAUCAGCAAAGCCGGGGAAUGUGCAUACAUUCAUCGGAACUCCCGGCAAAAGGCUUGCAAAGGUGAUUUCCCUUUC
ncrna:unclassified sequences HTH-XRE RNA